CGAAAUGCUGUUGGAAAAGUGCAUGUUGAUGUUAAUCUGCUGAAACUAUUAUAACUUGCUGUUUUAUCAUUUUUGCCAUGAUUUAUGUAUGCAUCCUAUGAGUAUGAGCUCUACAUGAAUGUUGGACUAUGCCAUGCCAUCUUUCCAGAGGUGUUGACCUUGUAUUUUUGUGAUUUGUGUGCUGAGUGCAUUGAGCUUGUAAAGUAGGGUAGUUGCUGUUGCUGUUUUCCUGACAGAUUCUGUUAUAUUUUGUUGCUAUGUUAACAUGCUUCCACUAAUCAUUAUAUGCAUAAUAUGGAGAUGCUCUAUAAACAUGUUUUGAUAUACAUGUCUUGCUCUAUCCAUUCAUGCCCUUGGUUGCAAUUAUGGCCUGCUGGAACAUGUACAUUUCUUGCUCCAAAGUUGCUUGAAAAUGUUGUUUGUCAGCCUGUUAACAUUAAGUUCACUUGUUCCCAUGUGUUUUCCUAGUGAUCCAUGUAUCCUAUGAACUUGCUCUUGCCAUGCUUAGCUUCACAAAAAUGCCUUAUUACUGUUGGUUGCCUUGCCAUGCCAUGUAUUGCUCUGUGGUGAGUGGUUAAAGCUCACGAACAUGCCUACUUAUUGUUGUUUCUGCCAUGUUUAAAUAUGUAAUAUAACUUGCCAUGUUUACAUGGGUGCCAUCAUAUUUUCCGUGCCUUUUUGGCUCAUGGUCAGUAAGGGUCUUUUGAUAUAUGCUAUUAGUAGAUUCAUGCCAUGCCUUUGUUUGCCAUGAUAUGUUCCUGUAACAUGUUGUUUGAUAGCUCUAAACAUUGCAACCUGAUGUUAUUUCUGCAAAGUCUGAAACUGUUAUUAUUUGCAAUAUCUCCAUGUCCUUUUUGAGCAUGUUCUAGUUGUUUCUGGAGAUAGCUCAGUGUUCAUGUUUUGUUAUGCUUUACGUGUACUUCAUGCCCUUGCCUUUUGUUAUUAUGUUGGGGUGCUGUAGCAUGUUGUUUUGAUGCUUGUAAGAUGCCUAGUUGCUGUUUUGGACAGAUUGUUGUUAUGACUUGUAUAGUGUGCACGUGUUGAACCGUUGCUCCGUUUUGAGUGUGCUCUAUAUGAAACUUGCUUGUUUUUGCAUGUAGCUUCAUAUUACCAUGUUGCAUCCUUGUUUUGGUGUGUUUGCUUGAUGUUUGGGUGCUUUUUGCAUCAAUGCCAUGCUUAACUUGUUUUGCUCAUAUCUUUUAGACCGUAGCUCCAAAUCUAAUGAACUUUAUAUGUAACUUGACUAGAAUUUCGUGUAGAUUCUCUUGGUGCUCUUUAACUUGCUGUUUAACAACUUGAACAUAAGGUUUAUUCAGUUCUGGACCAAUUUCGAAAUAUGCAUAUGAGGACUUACCGGAAUUGUCAUAUGUUGUUCCCGGCCUCAUUUAAACUUGCCUUGAUGUGUUCUUGUAUGCAUCAUCUCUUGCCAUGAGUAGCUUCAUGUAGCUUUGUCAUGCAUAAUGCUUGUUGUGCAUCAUGCCUUGUUCAUGCGUGGUGUGUUUACCUACGUUGUGUGCUUCUUCUUGUUAGUUCCUGUUUCGUUGCGAUCGUGAGGAUUAGUUCGUCUACGGUUGGUUCGGCUCCAUCCAUUCAUCUUCUUCAUGGACUCGUUCUUCUUCCUUGCGGGAUUUCAGGCAAGAUGACCGCUACCCUGGAUCUCACUACUAUCAUUGCUAUGCUAGUUGCUUCGUUCUAUCGCUAUGCUGCGCUACCUAUUACCUGUUUGUCCAGCCAUCCCAUAUUGCCAUGAACCCCUAACCUUUGACACCUUUCCUAUGCAAACCGUUGUUUGGCUAUGUUACCGCUUUUGCUCAGCCCCUCUUAUAGCGUUGCUAGCUGCAGGUGAAGUUGAAGAUUUUCUCCAUGGUGGACAGGAUUUUGGUUGGGAUAUCACAAUAUCUCUUAUAUUAUUAAUGCAUCUAUAUACUUGAUAAAGGGUGGAAGGCUCGGCCUUAUGCCUGGUGUUUUGUUCCACUCUUGCCGCCCUAGUUUCCGUCAUACCGGUGUUAUGUUCCCGGAUUUUGCGUCCCUUACGCGGUCGGGUGAUUUAUGGGACCCCCUUGACAGUUCGCUUUGAAUAAAACUUGUCCAGCAAGGCCCAACAUUGACUUUUACCAUUUGCCUCACCACCACCUACCUUUUCCCUUGGGAGUCGCUCUCUCGAGGGUCAUCUUUAUUUUAGCCCCCCCGGGCCAGUGCUUGUCUAAGUGUUGGUCCGAACCGGGCAGGGGGCAACUCGAGGGCUGGUUUUACUCGUAGGCUGACCUAUCCGGUGUUGCCCUGAGAACGAGAUAUGUGCAGCUCCUAUCGGGAUUGUCGGCGCAUCGGGCGGCUUUGCUGGUCUUGUUUUAACAUUGUCGAAAUGUCUUGAUGUACCGGGAUACCGAGUCUGAUCGGAGUGGCUCGGGUGAAGGUCUAUUCCUUCGAUGAUCGCGAGAGCUUGUCAUGGGCUAAGUUGGGACACCCCUGCAGGGUUUAAACUUUCGAGAGCCGUGCCCGCGGUUAUGUGGCAGAUGGGAAUUUGUUAAUGUCCGGUUGUAGAUAACUUGACACUUGAUCCGAAACUAAAACGCAUCAACCGCAUGUGUAGCCGUGAUGGUCUCUUCUCGGCGGAGUCCGGGAAGUGAACACGGUUUCUGUGUUAUGUCUGACGUAAGUAGGUGUUCAGGAUCACCUCUUGAUCAUUGCUAGCUUCACGACCAUUCCGCUUGUUUCUCUUCUCGCUCUUAUUUGCGUUGGUUAGCCACCAUACAUUGCUUAGUCGCUGCUGCAACCUCACCACCUUACCCCUUCCUUUCCCAUUAAGCUUUGCUAGUCUUGAUACCCAUGGUAAUGGGAUUGCUGAGUCCUCGUGGCUCACCAGAUACUUCCAAAACCAGUUUGCAGGUGCCUAUGUUACCGGGCAGGUGACGCAACCAAGCUCAAGGAGGAGCUCGAUGAAGAUCUUGCCCUUUGUGUUGUAUCGUUCUAGUUGUUCAGUAGUGGAGCCCAGUUGGGGUCGAUCGGGGACCUUUGUCGCUUUUGGGGUUCUUCUUUUAUUUUGGUUCCGUAGUCGGACCUUGAUCGUAUCUGGAUGAUGUAAUGCUUUAUUCAUGUAAUUGUGUGAAGUGGCGAUUGUAAGCCAACUAUGUAUCUCUUUCCCUUAAGUAUUACUUGGGUUGUGUGAUGAUUACCUCACUUGCGACUUUGCUUUCAAUGCGGUUAUGCCUCUAAGUCGUGCUUCGACACGUGGGAGAUAUAGCCGCAUCGAGGGCGUUACAAGUUGGUAAUUAGAGCCUUCCCCGACCUUAGGAGCCCCACUGCUUGAUCGUUUUUAGCGGCCGAGUUGUGUCUAGAAAAAUGUUUUGAGUCAUUUAGGAUUUUAUAUAUCGGAGAGUUAGGAAUUCUUUUUACUCCUCAGUCCCUUCAUCGCUCUGGUGAGGUCUCCUGACGUAGAGUUUUGACUCUUCUCUUCUCAAAUUUCACUAAUUUUUUUUAGGAUCACGCGGGUAUCUUAGAAUCGUUCCGAUGGUUUUAUGAUGACAACAUUGUCUUGGUGCCUCCCGUCAGCAGGGGUUUUUUUUAGUGGAGGUGUCCCGGGGAGUUGAGCUCUGAGGUGUUGUCGUCAUAAUUUUAUCGUUGCAGUUCUGGAAUACCUGAGUUUAGUACGCCGACAUCGAAAAUCUCUUUUAUGCAGUUGUUGGUGAGAUAACCCCGAUAACCCAGUACUGAGGUGAGUACGGGAGUAUUGCCAUGACUCGUAUAACGGAUUCUUUUCGAAGGUUGAGGUACACGAUUUCCGAAGGUUUCUUGGUUAUGUGUUGACGGAUGGAUACAGCUGGAUGUAGGUAUUGUUAGUUUGGGUGAGAUAUAUUGCUUCCCCUGUAUCCCCAACACCAGAUUGCAUAACCAGAAAGUUUCGGGAGUUUUAUAGGUGGGAAUUCAAGUAGCUCCUAGAAUAUCUUUUCGACAGAUGCAUGAUAUGGGAUUGGGUAAAUCUCUAUCAUAUGUUUGUUCCGGCUUAUUCUGCAAGCCAGUCCUUUGUUUUUGUUUUGAGUUGUGGUAUUCGAGUUGCUUCGAAGUCAAAUGUUGAAUCCAUACCUUUCCUAGCGGUGUUCUCAUAUUUCUAUGGGAGUACUAAUCCUUUUGAUCAUCGAGAUUGUCAUGUUAAUUCUUUUCCAACCGGUGUGCUUCUCUUCAAGUGGAUCCGAUCAUUCUCCCCAUCCGCAAGAUCAAUUCUAAGUUUUCUCAACGGUGUUUGUUUCAUCCGUCCCAAGUUGCCUUUGUUUUUCCCGCCCUCCCACCCUCUUUCUUCAAGGACACAGAUUUCUUAAUCAAGUAUCCAUUUAUUCAUGUGAAGUCUCUUCAUUCUUUUCAAUCAAUGUUCUUAUCCGAUGAUUUCCCAUGAAGACGCUCACGAGCUUCUAGUUCAUCAUCCUUCAUUGUUGUUUCUUUUCCGGUGGAUCCAUAUCAAGCUUUUGAUAUUCAUCAUAUCCCUUUCCUUGUUUCAAAUGCUUUUUAAUACCGAUGCAACUCUUAAUCAUUCACUUCUUCCUAUUCAUUUGUUCUGGAGUGCUCAAGAUAUCUCACAAGAUUCGUGUUUUCCAUUCUUAAUCCGUUCAAGCUAUUUGGAGAUUAUUAUCCCAUUCAAGUCAUUUAAUUCAACCGGUGCAAUCCCCUCUUUCAAUCAAUUGUUCAACGGUGUUCUUUUGAGUGGGCCCUAACCCACAUGUCUUUUCCCAGGAUCUUACCUGACUCUUCUAUUUUCCCAGAGCUAUCCUAAAUUCUUCUCCAAGUUUGACGUAAGAAUGAGUUAUCAUCAGUCAAAUGCUUUUCUCCAAGAUCUUUCAAAUUCUUUUCAUUGUUGGCUCAACCUUUUCGGUUUUCAUUCUGCCGGAGUAUCUAAGUAAUUUUGGUGUUGUUUCUCGUCAUCAUUUGAAGAUCGAAGAAGAGUUCCUCUUAAAUCCUUACCCGUUCUUCCAAAGAGGUGUAGUUUAAGCUUGAUGCCAUCCUCCCAUAAUUGUUUUCGAUUGUGAGAAUUCUUUUUACCCAUCCGGAGCAUUUCAUGAGUUGUUUCCAUUUCUUUCCUCGAAGGCCAUCAUGCCAUAAUUCUUCAUUCUCAGAUUUGAGCUUUCAUUCUCCAAAUCAUACCGGUGCAUCAUUCAAGUAUUCUCUAAUCAGUUCAUGAUCUCUUCAUUCUCAUGUAUCUAAAUCCCCUCAAGUAUCUUCAUUCGUUUUCCAAUUCUUCCUGGUGAAUUGUGCCUUUGCUACGUUCAAUUUCAAUUCUUACGGUGGUUCGUUCAAGAUUUCACUUCCUUCGUUAUCAUAUCAAUUCAUUUGUUGUUCCAAUCCUACCGGUGGUUCGUCAAGGAUUCUUUUCAUUCUUCAAUUGUUCUUCAAGAUUUCUCUUGAAGUUAUGAUCCGCCAAGCUAUACUCAAAAUUAAACAUGGUGCUCAGCUCAUGUUUUGUUUUGAGGAGUUCAAGUAUUCUUCUUCUUGCAUUCCAAAGUGCAAUUCUUUCUACCUUAUCUUUUGAGGUGGUGUUAUGUCACUCUUGACAAUUUCCUUCAUGUUUCAUGAUUCAUAUGUUGUCAAGAAUGAGGUAUAUUAAAUCCAUCAAUCUCUUCCUUGGAGUUAUCUUGGUAUAGAUUUCACCUAAAGCCUUCCCUAAGGAAUGUUGCUAUUAUGGUGUUUAUCAAUGAUCCAAGUUUUCUCCUAUCCUCUCGGCGAAAGCAGUUUUUCAUAUCUUUGGUGCUCUAAAUCAAAUCAAUGGUUUCCGUUAGUGGCCGGUUGUCACCUCAUAGUUUUGAGAUGUUUUCCAUAAGCCACUACAAGCUUGUUCUUUUCGUUGUUGGUUUUCCAACAACUCCAUUCUAAACUUCUAGGAAGGGUGCUUUCCGAGCCCAUUUGUGGCAGAAGUUGGCAUUUUCUUCUCCGUUCUUUUAUUCCAAUGGUCUAUCUUCUAUUCUUUCUUCCGAAGGCAAUGUGAUGUUGCUCUUUUCACUCAUCAUCUCGAAUUGUGAGGAUCAUGAUCUUUUCUUGCUUAUCCAUUUAACCGGAGUGUCAUGUACUCUUUUCAAGUUCUUUCAUCUUAUCAAGUUUUGCCCCCUUCUCAACCGGAGUGCUGUCUGAAAUCUUUCUUACCCCUUGUGCCAUUCUUUCAAUAGUUCCAGAGGCAGUGUAUUGUUGAUUUCAUCAAGUAUCUUCUCAUCUUGUCAAGUUCAUGUUCAAUUCCUUCCAUUUACAAUCGGAGUGCUGCCCGAAUUCUUCCCCUCUCAUCUUGUUUUAACCGGAGUGGUUUCGAAUUCUAUCUUGUCCAUUAAACUAUUGAUUCAUGUCUUUGCAACCUUCAAGUUCUCGUAAUACUCCUUGUUCAUCUUUUCUAACGGAUUGUUUGCAAUCUUUGUCAUCUCCGUUAUUUUGUUUCUUUCAAUGUGUUCAACCUCUCAAGGUUCUUUGGUUUCACUAUUUUGUCGAAGAAGCAACUUAGUUUACCUCUUAUCUUCCUCUUUCGUUUUCCCUCCGGUGCCAUCCUAGAUCUCGGGACGAGAUCCUCUCGUAGUGGUGGAGUGUUGUAACGCCCCGGACCUGAUGCGCCAGGUGUCCGCCAGUUAUUCGCCGUCGUUGCCAUGUCAUUUGCUUGCGUGUUGCAUUUUGCCAUGUCAUCAUCUGCAUUUCAUAUCAUGUCAUCAUGUGCAUUUCAUUUUGCAUACAUGUUCGUCUCAUGCAUCCGAGCAUUUUCCCCGUUGUCCGUUUUGCAAUCCGGCGCUCCUAUGUCAUCCGGCGUCCCCUUCUUCUCUCCUGUUGUGAGCGGGUAUUAAACUUUCUCAUAAUGGCCCGAGGUUUGCCAAGCGGCCUUGGUAUAGCACCGGUAGACCGCCUGUCAAGUUUCGUGCCAUUUGGAGGUCGUUUGGUACUCCAACGGUUAACUGGGUAACCGCAAAGCCUCUUUUGUUUGCAGCCCAACACCCCUUCCAAAGUGGCCCAAAACCCACCAAACUCUCCUCCAUGCUCUCGGUCGUUCGAUCACGAUCGCGUGGCCGAAAACCGCACCUCAUUUGGACUCUCCUAGCUCCCUCUACCUAUAUAUUAGCCUCCCCCUCCGAAAUUUUACAUUCUGGACCCAUGUUCAUCGCAUCACAUCUUCGCACCCGUAGCUCCGUUUUGCGCGUGUAAUAUGUCAAAUUGUUCGCCUCGACGAGUACUUCAUUUCAUUCCAUUGCAUCAUUUUCAUUUGAGCUCAUCUUGAUGCCCGAAAUGCUGUUGGAAAAGUGCAUGUUGAUGUUAAUCUGCUGAAACUGUUAUAACUUGCUGUUUUAUCAUUUUUGCCAUGAUUUAUGUGUGCAUCCUAUGAGUAUGAGCUCCACAUGAAUGUUGGACUAUGACAUUCCAUCUUUCCAGAGGUGUUUACCUUGUAUUUUUGUGAUUUGUGUGCUGAGUGCAUUGAGCUUGUAAAGUAGGGUAGUUGUUGUUGCUGUUUUCCUGACAGAUUCUGUUAUAUUUUGUUGCUAUGUUAACAUGCUUCCACUAAUCAUUCUAUGCAUAAUAUGGAGAUGCUCUAUAAACAUGUUUUGAUAUACAUGUCUUGCUAUAUCCAUUCAUGCCCUUGGUUGAAAUUAUGGCCUGCUGGAACAUGUUCAUUUCUUGCUCCAAAGUUGCUUGAAAAUGUUGUUUGUCAGCCUGUUAACAUUAAGUUCACUUGUUCCCAUGUGUUUUCCUAGUGAUCCAUGUAUCCUAUGAACUUGAUC
rnacentral:lncRNA from 1 species